CCCCCAUUUAAGGGCUGGCAAGGGUAGAGGUAAGGGUGUUUUACUGAAGUUCCCUGUGUUCCUGAGGUCUUCUAGUGGAAGGAGCGUUAUUUCUCAACAUAGAACACACAGAAGACAGAAUUAACUCCAUGAUAUAGCUGCAUUACCACCCUGCUAUUCACUUCCUGACUUCAGCUCAAGUGCCUACAGGCCCUGUCCUACUAAGCUCUGUACAAGGCCUGACAUUUGACACCCAAGACCCCAGGACUUACACAGAGGCACAAGCGGAGGCCCUGGGGAAGAGCUCCAUGGUCACAGGACACCAGCUUUGGCCGUACUACAUUGUCAUUCAUUCCUCCCUGCCACACGCGUGCCUGCCCAUAUAGGAAAAUGAGUUUACAACCGACUACGCCUAUGGGACUCCCGGAGGGAUACAAUGUGAGAGCCUUUACUAGUGGUGGAUGGUCCUCAAAAGGUUUGAAAGUUUGCCCAGAUUAGAGGAACUUGGCUGUUCUUUGGAACUGCAGAAGACAUGAUAAACAACUUGCUUGGUCAUUGCUGAAAAAGAUGACUCCCUAAAAUCAUGAUGAAAAGUUACUCUAACUGCUGUGCUUUGUUGGAAGACUUCUUGAGGGUAUCACCAUGACUAUGGCUGCUGCUGCUGCUUGUUUGUGUUGUAGACUUACCCUUACUGCAAGAAUAUUUGGGAAAAGGCAGAGAAAAAUUGUAUGAAGUUACCUAUGAACAAGUUGACCUGUGGACCCUGCCAAAAAAAAUUUUCCAUGUGAACUUGAGUUUGCAAGGCCCUUUUUUGAGUCCCGAAAACUCUGCGUUCUGAAAAAGGACAUCUGUGAUAAGAUGGAACUUGGCACCAGUAACUCAUGUACUAUGGGUGAAGCAUGCUCAGAAGAGGCAGACCCAGAGGUAGUCCUGAAUCUUGUAAAUGGCUCUGGGUGAAUCUGAAGAACUGCAUGUGAUUUGUCAGGCGUUUUUAAGAUAAAUGGUAAAACUGAACUGGAAAUCCAUCUGGCCAGCUGCCUGAUCUAAUGAAUAACCCCACUUUGGCUCCUGCAAUGUAAGCAGAAAGAGUUCUCUCCCGGCCGCUUUCGUCUGUCAUGAAUCUACAAGACAGCCGACAUAAUAUCUGGGCGACAACAGCGUGCUAACAGUGCAGUGACUUCCAUUUUCUUUGCUUUCUAUUGAUUUUCACUUAAUAACUGGCGAAAUACUAAACGUCCGCCCUGAGUACCUAAUAAAUCCUGCCUGAGCUUUUUAUUGAGGAGAAUUUAAUAAAAACAACCAUUGUGGCUGAGGGAUUUUUCUUCUGGACAGAACACGGUGAGGGGUGGGUAGCGUGUAUGGGUAAGGGGGGGAGAGACAUUUGAAUUUUCUAAUUUUUUUUUUUUUGCAAGCUUUUCCCCCCUCCCUUCUCGUCACUGCCCUCUUGAGGACCCG
ensembl:lncRNA